GUACGGGAGGCAGCAGUGGGGAAUUUUGCGCAAUGGGCGAAAGCCUGACGCAGCAACGCCGCGUGAGUGAUGAAGGCUUUCGGGUCGUAAAGCUCUGUCAGAGGGAAAGAAGUGUAUUGUGGCUAAUAUCCACGAUACUUGACGGUACCCUCAAAGGAAGCACCGGCUAACUCCGUGCCAGCAGCCGCGGUAAUACGGGGGGUGCAAGCGUUGUUCGGAAUUAUUGGGCGUAAAGAGCGUGUAGGCGGUUUGUUUAGUCUGAUGUGAAAGCCCUGGGCUCAACCCAGGAAGUGCAUUGGAUACUGGCAGACUUGAAUACGGGAGAGGGUAGUGGAAUUCCUAGUGUAGGAGUGAAAUCCGUAGAUAUUAGGAGGAACACCGGUGGCGAAGGCGGCUACCUGGACCGAUAUUGACGCUGAGACGCGAAAGCGUGGGUAGCAAACAGGAUUAGAUACCCCUGUAGUCCU
rnacentral:rRNA from 1 species